rnacentral:rRNA from 1 species
AAUUGCUAGUAAUGGCAGGUCAGCAUACUGCCGUGAAUACGUUCCCGGGCCUUGUACACACCGCCCGUCACACCAUGAGAGUUGGAAAUACCCGAAGCCUGUGAGCUAACUGUAAAGAGGCAGCAGUCGAAGGUAGAGCCAAUGAUUGGGGUGAAGUCGUAACAAGGUAGC